rnacentral:rRNA from 1 species
GAGAACCGGAGGAAGGUGGGGAUGACGUCAAGUCCUCAUGGCCCUUAUAGGUGGGGCUACACACGUCAUACAAUGGCUGGUACAAAGGGUUGCCAACCCGCGAGGGGGAGCCAAUCCCAUAAAGCCAGUCGUAGUCCGGAUCGUAGUCUGCAACUCGACUACGUGAAGUCGGAAUCGCUAGUAAUCGUGGAUCAGAGUGUCACGGUGAAUACGUUCCCGGGUCUU